rnacentral:rRNA from 1 species
AUUGAACGCUGGCGGCAUGCUUUACACAUGCAAGUCGAACGGCAGCGCGGGCUUCGGUCUGGCGGCGAGUGGCGAACGGGCGAGUAAUGCAUCGGAACGUGCCCAGCAGUGGGGGCUAGACCGGCGAAAGCCGGAUUAAUACCGCAUACGACCUGACGGUGAAAGCGGGGGACCGAAAGGUCUCGCGCUAUUGCAGCGGUCGAUGUCGGAUUAGCUAGUUGGUGGGGUAAAGGCUUACCAAGGCGACGAUCCGUAGCUGGUCUGAGAGGACGACCAGCCACACUGGAACUGAGACACGGCCCAGACUCCUACGGGAGGCAGCAGUGGGGAAUUUUGGACAAUGGGGGCAACCCUGAUCCAGCCAUACCGCGUGCGGGAAGAAGGCCUUCGGGUUGUAAACCGCUUUUGUUCGGGAAGAAAUCCUCUGGGCUAAUACCCCGAGGGGAUGACGGUACCGGAAGAAUAAGCACCGGCUAACUACGUG